UACGGGGGGGGCAAGCGUUGUUCGGAAUUACUGGGCGUAAAGGGCUCGUAGGCGGCCAACUAAGUCAGACGUGAAAUCCCCAGGCUCAACCUGGGAACUGCGUCUGAUACUGGAUGGCUUGAAUCCGGGAGAGGGAUGCAGAAUUCCAGGUGUAGCGGUGAAAUGCGUAGAUAUCUGGAGGAACACCGGUGGCGAAGGCGGCAUCCUGGACCGGCAUUGACGCUGAGGAGCGAAAGCCAGGGGAGCAAACGGG
rnacentral:rRNA from 1 species